ACCAUGUGGGGAGUUUGGGUGAUGCACUGAGCCCUGUAAAUGUUUGAGCUAAGCUUUUCUGCCCUUGAUAUUCUUAAAGAUGCCUGAAGUACUUCCUGAGUUAUAAGAGACAUACCAGGAAAGCUCAACGAUUUAUUGAACACUCUCUCCUCAUGUGUAUAUCAUUUUCUUAAGGCAUUUAUAAAGACCAUUUUUUAUUCCCUAUAGUGGAACUGUCAGGAGAAAGAGUGAAGUUUUGGGAGGAAGUCAACUCUGCUGUCCUUGGUAGAGACACUUCCGCUUCUGGUAACGAUGAAAGAGUGGUUGCCUCCUGCAUAAAACAAUGGAUACCGAAGAGGUUCGAUGUGUCACAGGGCCAGGUGUCAUCUCUGUGCACUUCUGAAACGGAAAUGGAACAACUCUUCUGGAAUGCUUUUCUGUCUGCAGAACCACCUCUUGCUUCCAACUUCAAAUGCUAAAUGAGUUUGAAGAACCUGUCAACUCACAGAGAAGCUGCACAGGAAAGCAAACGGAGUCCUCACCCAACAGAAAUGGCUGAAAAUUCUUUGAAUGGUUAAAAAGGAUCCCAGCAUAAAAAGUGACUCCCCUUCGAUCUCCUCUGGAGCUCCCUUGCUCAGUGGUUUUGGGUCCCUCUUCUGGAAACGCAGGCACAAAGCUUUUUGAGGCAGAGCCCUCUGCCUACCUCAAAGGACGGUUUUGUUGGCAGCAGAUACUGUACCUGUCUCACUGGGGCCUUCAGAAUGCUGAAUCACCAGCUGAAGGGACAGCUCAAGGGCUUCCAUUGAUGUGGUUGACCAGAAUAAAGUCGUUGUGGUCUC